rnacentral:rRNA from 1 species
UACGGGGGGGGCAAGCGUUGUUCGGAAUUACUGUGCGUAAAGGGCUCGUAGGCGGCCAACUAAGUCGGAUGUGAAAUCCCCAGGCUUAACCUGGGAACUGCGUGUGAUACUGGAUGGCUUGAAUCCGGGAGAGGGAUGCGGAAUUCCAGGUGUAGCGGUGAAAUGCGUAGAUAUCUGGAGGAACACCGGUGGCGAAGGCGGCAUCCUGGACCGGUAUUGACGCUGAUGAGCGAAAGCCAGGGGAGCAAACGGG